rnacentral:rRNA from 1 species
UGCUUGUCUCAAAGAUUAVGCCAUGCAAGUGNAGUUCAAGCCUUAAUACGGUGAAACCGCGAAUGGCUCAUUAAAUCAGCUAUAAUUUCUUAGAUCUUGGUGAACUUGGAUAACUGUGGUAAUUCUAGAGCUAAUACUAUCAAAAUGCGUCAUUUCGGUGGCAGCGGAUUUAUUAGAUCAAAAUCAACUAGCUGCUUGCAGUUAUUAUUUUGGUGACUCUAGAUAACUUUUACAGAUCGCAUAACCUUGUGUUGGCGGUGUAUCUUUCAAGUGUCUGACCUAUCAACUGUUGAUGGUUGUGUAACGGACAACCAUGGUAACAACGGGUAACGGGGAAUCAGGGUUCGAUUCCGGAGAGGGAGCCUUAGAAACGGCUACCACAUCUAAGGAAGGCAGCAGGCGCGCAAAUUACCCACUCUCAGCAUGAGGAGGUAGUGACAAUAAAUAACGAUGCGGAACUCUUAUGAGSSUCCGCAAUCGGAAUGAGUACAGUUUAAAUCCUUUAACGAGGAUCAAUCAGAGGGCAAGUCUGGUGCCAGCAGCCGCGGUAAUUCCAGCUCUGAUAGCGUAUAUUAAAAUUGUUGCAGUUAAAAAGCUCGUAGUUGGAUCUCGGGUGUGAUGUGUCGGUCUGGAUUUAUAUCCAUGAACGUAUACAUCCAUCAUUGCAAGUUGCAUGACGACUCAUGGUGUCCUUCAUUGGAUGCUGUGGUGUUGCUGAACACGUUUACCGUGAAAAAAUCAGAGUGCUUAAAGCAGGCCUUUGUGCUUGUAUGGUGGUGCAUGGAAUAAUGGAAUAGGACUUCGGUACUAUUUUGUUGUUUUUCGGUAUUCCGAAGUAAUGAAAAAUAGAGACAGACGGGGCCAUUUGUAUGGUAGCGGGAGAGGUGAAAUUCUGAGAUCGUUGCCAGACAAACUACUGCGAAAGCAUUUGGCUAGCAUGUCUUCAUUAAUCAAGAACGAAAGUCAGAGGAUCGAAGACGAUCAGAUACCGUCCUAGUUCUGACCAUAAACGAUGCCGACCAGUGAUCAGACAUGAUCUACCAUUAUUGACAUGUCUGGUUGCCUCUGGGAAACCUCUAGUUAGGUUCUGGGGGGAAUAUGGUCGCAAGGCUGAAACUUAAAGGAAUUGACGGAGGGACACCACCAGGAGUGGAGCCUGCGGCUUAAUUUGACUCAACACGGGGAAUCUCACCCGGUCCGGACACUGGCAGGAUUGACAGAUUGAUAGCUCUUUCAUGAUUCAGUGGUUGGUGGUGCAUGGCCGUUCUUAGUUGGUGGAGUGAUUUGUCUGGUUAAUUUCGAUAACGAACGAGACUCUAACCUGCUAAAUAGUAAAGGAGCAUCGAGUUGGAUCCUGACUUCGGUUGGGUGAUAAUUCACAGCUGCCUAAAAGACUUCUUAGAGGAAUACGCAGGAAUUUAAGCUGCAAGAGAGAGAGCAAUAACAGGUCUGUGAUGCCCUUAGAUGUCCGGGGCGCACGCGCGCUACAUUGACAGUGACAAAAAGUAUUACUACCUGUUCCGAAAGGUCGGGGUAAUCUUCGAAUCAUUGUCUCCACAGGGAUUGGGGUUUGCAAUUAUCCCCCAUGAACGAGGAAUUCCUAGUAGGCGCAAGUCAUCAGCUUGCGUCGAUUACGUCCCUGUCCCUUGUACACACCGCCCGUCGCUACUACCGAUUGAGUGAAUUAGUGAGGAUUCCGGAUUGUUGACUUGGAGACUUUCGAGUUUCUUUGUUGAUAAAAAGUGAUUCAAACUUGUUCAUUUAGAGGAAGUAAAAGUCGUAACAAGGUUUCCGU